rnacentral:lncRNA from 1 species
CUACUGUGCAGUAUAUAGGAAAGAAGAAAGAGACCCAAAGAAUAUAUAUGCAGAACAAACUGAGGAUCUUCUACUGAAAGAGCAGUCCCAACAUGUUCUUCAGUGUAACUGAUUGUUCAAGCUGUUUCUGUUUUGUAUCUUGGAGAUGUACAUACUGGUUUUCCUUUUGGCAGGACUACACCAACCCACACAUCACAAUUCAGGCUAGAGGAAAGCAUGGAGUUGUGAUUCCUGUGUUUGUGCCUGACUACAGUAAUACAGCAGAAUACUGGGAGAGUAAAGGACUUUGCCAUGUUUUUGUGAUGUAAAUAAAGCGUUGAAAUUGACUGGUAUUGGCUGGUGUUUGCUGCUGUUUCUUUUUCCCUUCCUACCUGUCUGUUUUCAUGUGUCUUCC